rnacentral:rRNA from 1 species
GACGAACGCUGGCGGCGUGCUUAACACAUGCAAGUCGAACGGAAAGGCCCUGCUUUUGUGGGGUGCUCGAGUGGCGAACGGGGGAGUAACACGUGAGUAACCUGCCCUUGACUUUGGGAUAACUUCAGGAAACUGGGGCUAAUACCGGAUAGGAGCUCCUGCUGCAUGGUGGGGGUUGGAAAGUUUCGGCGGUUGGGGAUGGACUCGCGGCUUAUCAGCUUGUUGGUGGGGUAGUGGCUUACCAAGGCUUUGACGGGUAGCCGGCCUGAGAGGGUGACCGGCCCCAUUGGGACUGAGAUACGGCCCAGACUCCUCCGGGAGGCAGCAGUGGGGAAUAUUGCACUAUGGGCGGAAGCCUGAUGCAGCAACGCCGCGUGCGGGAUGACGGCCUUCGGGUUGUAAACCGCUUUCGCCUGUGACGAAGCGUGAGUGACGGUAAUGGGUAAAGAAGCACCGGCUAACUACGUG